UCCGCCUGGGAACUACGAGCAGUAGCUUAAAACCCAAAGGACUUGGUGGUGCUUUAGACCCCCCUAGAGGAGCCUGUUCUAGAACUGAUAAUCCCCGUUGAACCUCACCAUCUCUUGCCCCCCCCCCCUAUAUACCACCGUCGUCAGCUUACCCUGUGAAGGAAAAAAGUAAGCACAAAUGGUAAAACCAAAAACGUCAGGUCGAGGUGUAGCGUAUGAGAAGGGAAGAAAUGGGCUACAUUCUCUGCCACAAAAAAAACCAAUUUGAGCUUGGAAAAAUCUUCCUUGAGGGGGGUUUUACAAUAAGUAAGGGAAAAAGGGCCCCACUGAAAAAGGCCCU
rnacentral:rRNA from 1 species